GCCAUGGAUCUUCUGCCUGAGGCGGACACUGGUUAGAAUCUUGCCGGAUAUGCAAGCUGAGUAAUUGUUGGGAUGGUUCUGAUGGAGCUUUGAUCGUUCGAGUGCCUGCUGUGAUUCCUCUGCCGGUGCUGGUGUCUCAAGAACAUCAGGAGAUCAUCCUUUAUCGACAGCGGGUGAACAGCUGCAAUUGUUGCUGCUAUUGCUGUCACUGCCACUGUGGCUACGGUUGCUGGAGUUGCCAUUUCACAAACAACUGUGACUAUAGAGACUGUGAAUCAACUGUCUAGAAGGGUUAGCAAGUCCCUGCAGACACAGAGUGCUCUGGACUCUCAUAUUGGACUUGGACUUUUAAAUUUAAAUCAA